AAUUCAGGGGAAGGAUGCUUAAAAUGCCAUAUUUGGAGGCAAUGACGUCACAGCGACGCGACGAGGACUGUCCGAAUUCAAAGAGCACUCAAAAUGUGGCGACAAAUGUGUCCUACUUUUCCGUGAAUUUGAGGGUUAGUCGUGUCCGAAUUCAGAGGAAGGACGCUUCAAUGCCAUAUUUGGAGGCAAUGACGUCACGGCGACGAGACGAAGGCUGUCCGAAUUCAAAGAGUCCUCAAAAUGUGGCGACAAAUGUGUCCUACUUUGCCCUGAAUUCUAAGGAUGGUCCGAUGUAUCCUUCAUGUCCUACUAUAUCCCAGGAUUCAUUGCGGGUCAUAGAGGAGAUUUGUUUCUGAUAACGAUGGUGGUCAAAGCGGGAGAGGAAAACACUUUCAAAUGACAAUUCUGGAGAAGAUGGGCCUGCAGGGGAAAGUCACCCCCUUGCAGGCCAGAAGACAUGAGAUAACUUUAAAGAAUACAAAGAUUGCAAGUAUCCAGGCUCAGGAGAGGGGGUCAGUGGGAAGCCCACUGCUGCUACUUGGCCCUGGUUUGCCCUCAUGGAUGAGGUGAUAGGACAGAGGCCUUCCAUUAAGCCUCUUGUCCAAAUGUCCUCUCUCCCUGAGGACACUCCAGGGCCAAGCACAACAGUGGGUGACCAAAACGACAGUGAUGAUGAAGCGGCU